AUUGAACGCUGGCGGCAUGCUUUACACAUGCAAGUCGAACGGUAACAGGCCGCAAGGUGCUGACGAGUGGCGAACGGGUGAGUAAUGCAUCGGAACGUGCCCAGUCGUGGGGGAUAACGCAGCGAAAGCUGUGCUAAUACCGCAUACGAUCUAUGGAUGAAAGCGGGGGACCGUAAGGCCUCGCGCGAUUGGCGCGGCCGAUGUCAGAUUAGGUAGUUGGUGGGGUAAAGGCUCACCAAGCCAACGAUCUGUAGCUGGUCUGAGAGGACGACCAGCCACACUGGGACUGGGACACGGCCCAGACUCCUACGGGAGGCAGCAGUGGGGAAUUUUGGACAAUGGGCGCAAGCCUGAUCCAGCAAUGCCGCGUGCAGGAAGAAGGCCUUCGGGUUGUAAACUGCUUUUGUACGGAACGAAAAGGUUUGGGUUAAUACCCUGGGCCGAUGACGGUACCGUAAGAAUAAGCACCGGCUAACUACGUGCCAGCAGCCGCAGUAA
rnacentral:rRNA from 1 species